rnacentral:rRNA from 1 species
UACGGAGGGAGCUAGCGUUGUUCGGAAUUACUGGGCGUAAAGCGUACGUAGGCGGCUUUGUAAGUUAGAGGUGAAAGCCUGGAGCUCAACUCCAGAACUGCCUUUAAAACUGCAUCGCUUGAAUCCAGGAGAGGAUAGUGGAAUUCCCAGUGUAGUGGUGAAAUACGUAGAGAUUGGGAAGAACACCAGUGGCGAAGGCGGCUAUCUGGACGGUUUCUGACGCUAAGACGCGAAAAGCGUGGGGGAGCAAACAGG